ensembl:snoRNA SNORA70 Small nucleolar RNA SNORA70
AAACAAAACAAAAACCUGAGUGAAGUUCCCCAUGGGGUCCUGGUAUGCAAUGGUUGCAGACAGCAGCCUCCUUUGCAGUAUAUACAGCCUGUUGCCUCUGUGGGUUGUCUUCCGGGACCUUGGAGACAAUU